CAGACGGGCAGCUGCUGGGGUCACCAGUCAAUAUGUCCCCUGCAGCAGGGAAUCUAAGCACCCCCACUUUUAUGACCACCAUAGGGGCAGCAAAGAGGUAUUGACAAUGUCAAUUUGUCUCCUACCAUUUGAGAGGACAUUAAUGGCACCAUAUCGAAAUGACAUUUACUGCUAAGUCCUGCCAGUGCCACAAUUGCCACUUUUGAUCACCUGGAAACAAACAGGAAACAGGACUGACCGGUACCACUGACAAAACGCAAAGAUGUGUUGGCAACUCCUGAAAGCGAAGUCUGUCCCUGCGUCGGGCUCUGCAUUUGGUAUUCAUCAUUCCAGCCACCGAUAAAAUCCCAGCCCUGACUGACACCUUGAUUGCAGCCUGGUAGAGGACCCAGCUGAACUCGCCCAGACUCUGGACCCAUAGAAUGCCCUGGCUACGUGACUUGGGAUUUAUCUCGGUAAACCAGUUUGUGCAAACAUCUCUCCAAGCCCUGGGAAAUCCUGGAAAAGCCCAAAAAGUGAGAAGACUAUGUUGUUAACAGAUACACCAGCACAAAUCUGUCCAAAUGAAGUUGUCUUCUCAGAAGCGGACCCUGCGGGAAGCCACUCU
rnacentral:lncRNA from 13 species